UCCUCUACAUAAACUGGUCUUAUUUUGCUUAUUAUAUAUAUAUGUGUGUGUGUGUGUGUGUGUGUGUGUGUGUGUAAAUAAAUACACACACACACACAUAUAUAUACACACAUAUAUA
rnacentral:miRNA from 1 species